CCAAUAGCGUAUAUUAAAGUUGUUGCAGUUAAAAAGCUCGUAGUUGAAUUUCGGGAUUGACGUGACGGUCAUGCCUUAAGGGGUAUGAACUGUUACUGUUGAUUUCUCACCUUCUGGAGAAACUUGAUGUCCUUUAUUGGGUGUCUUGCGGAUCCAGGACCUUUACCUUGAAAAAAUUAUAGUGUUUAAAGCAGGCAUUUUUGCUCGAAUACAUUAGCAUGGAAUAAUAGAAUAGGACGGCAUGGUUCUAUUUUGUUGGUUUCUAGGAUCACCGUAAUGAUUAAUAGGGAUAGUUGGGGGCAUUAGUAUUCAAUUGUCAGAGGUGAAAUUCUUGGAUUUAUUGAAGACUAACUACUGCGAAAGCAUUUGCCAAGGAUGUUUUCAUUAAUCAAGAACGAAAGUUAGGGGAUCGAAGACGAUCAGAUACCGUCGUAGUCUUAACCAUAACCUAUGCCGACUAGGAAUCAGACGAUGUUAAUUUUUUAAUGACUCGUUUGGCACCUUACG
rnacentral:misc_RNA from 1 species